CAAUAAUGAAUUCUCCUGUCGAAGCAUUCUCGGAGUAGAUAUUGAUGCUGUUACGGUCAGGCAAUCAAGGUAAACUGGGCAUAUGCCAGUGGCCAGAGGGAGGUUACAUCAGGCCACUUCAACAUCUUUGUUGGUGACCUAAGUCUUGAAGUCACUGAUGCGACUCUAUUUGCAUGCUUUUCAGUGUAUUCCAGCUAUUUAGAUGCAUAGGUUAUGUGGGAUCAUAAAACUGGGCGCUCAAGAGGAUUUGGCUUUGUUUCUUUUCAUAAUCAGCAGAUGGAGGAGGUCAAUAGAAUGCAAGUGACGAGGCCCCUGAAAACAACCCUGCAUUUACAACCGUCUAUGUUGGUAAUCUUGUACAUGAGGUAAAAUAAAGGAACUGAGACAUUGUGUUGGCUGCAUGGUUUGUACAAUUGAGAGAAAAAAAAUGUCCCUAAAAUUGAUGGCCAUGCUUUGCAGCAUGUUUAUUUUUAUCAUCUGUGCUGACAUUUCCUGUUUUUCCUGUUUCAAUGGCCAAUUCGUCAGGCGACUCAAACUGAACUCCAUCGCCAGUUUCAUUCUCUUGGGGCUGGUGUCAUUGAAGAAGUGUGUGUACAGAGAGAUAAAGGUUUUGGAUUUGUAAGGUACUAGUACCACACACAUGAUCAAGAAGCCCUGGCCAUGGGAUCUAUGCUGGCACCUGGCCACUUAAUCGCGUACCCAUGGAUAGCAGCAGCAUUACUCAAUCAGCAACUAUUUCCUAGAAUCUUCCACGAGUUGGACAUAUAACUGUUUCCCAUGAAUGGAUUAUAAAUUGAUUAAAAUGAAUGAUUGUGCACAGGUUUAUAAA